GCACAGAUUAUCCUUCUGUGCUGUGAGACAGGAAGAGCAUCAGCACUGGCACUUAAGUGCCAAUCAGAGGUCUAUUUGUGGAGUUGAUGAUCUCACCCUAGUGCCCGAGUUGUGAUGUGGGGGUGCACCAUGGCGAUACAAGGUUCAAUGGUGAGCCUGGCUUUACUGUUCUUUGGGAUUCAAGCUGUCCCUAACCCCACCAGCAAACUAGUGAGGACCACAAGGGUGAGGCGACAGGUUCCCGAAGGUGGGGGUCCGUCUAGCAACCAGACCCAGGCCAUGAUCUUCAAUCAUGUAUACAACAUCAAUGUACCUCUAGAGUCACUCUGUUCAGUGGACCUAGACACGGUACCAGGGCCAGGGACAAACAAAGGUACAGCUGGGAGUGACAAGAUGCCGACAGAGUACACAGAAGAGACAGUGGACUCGGACAGCCAGGUGACCUUCACCCAUCGCAUCAAUAUCCCAAAGCAGGCCUGUGCUUGUCCUGUGGCUGUGGCCAUGGAACAGCUGGCUAACCGUAUAGAGAUGCUGGAGAGGGAGGUAUCCUUGCUUCGAGCACAGUGUAGCUCCAGCUGCUGUGGAGAGAGCUCUGUUAUGGGUCAGUUCGACUUCGUCCCUCAGUGUGGCCAUGGCACGUUCAGCAUGGAGGUUUGUGGGUGUGUUUGUGAAGAAGGAUGGAUUGGCAAGAACUGCUCUGAAGCCCGCUGCCCAGAUGACUGCUCUGGCCAGGGCAUUUGCAUCGAAGGCGAGUGUGUAUGUGACCAUAACUUUGGCGGUGAGAACUGCUCGGAGCCUCGAUGUCCAGGUGAUUGCUCUGACAGGGGGUUAUGUCAGUGUAUGUGUUUUUUUUGUUUGUUUUUUCUCAAACAUUGUAUAUUGUGUGUGUGUGUGUGUGUGUGUGUGUUGUCACCUCCUAUGAACCUGCAAGUUCAGGGAGUAUCAGAGAAUACCAUUGAUCUGGAGUGGGAGGGGCCUGUGAUCCUGACAGACUAUCUCAUCACUUAUGCCCCCACAACCCCUGGUGGAGUCCAACUAGAGAUCAGAGUCCCAGGAAAUGUUACCAACACCACCAUCAAAGAAUUGGAGCCGGGUCUGGAAUACAACAUCAAUGUGUACGCAGUGAUCGACGACAUCAUCAGUGCCCCACUGAACACCUUAGUCUCCACCUAUCUCUCGAAUCCAGACGGUUUACUCUUCAAAUCCAUCAUGGAGACGUCCGUGGAGGUUCAGUGGCAACCCUUAGACUACUUGUUUGAUGGUUGGGAAAUAAGCUUCAUUCCCAAGGACAAUGAUGGAGGGAUGACAGCACAACUACCCAGUACCAUCACGUCGUUCCACCAAACAGGGCUGCGGCCUGGGGAAGAAUACACUGUCAACCUGGUGGCCUUGAAAGACCAGGGAAGGAGCCAGCCUGUUACUGCAACCGUUAUAACACUGAUUGAUGGGCCAACACAACUUAUUGUACGAGAUGUCUUAGACACGGUUGCCUUUGUGGAGUGGAGCCCACCCAAGGCUAAAGUGGACCAGAUCAUAUUGCGGUAUGGGUUGGUAGGGGUGGAUGGACCAAAGACAACAUUUCGCCUGCAGCCUACUCUGAGCCAGUACUCCCUCCAAGUCCUGAGGCCUGGAUCCACGUAUGAAGUAUCAGUCAGUGGAGUCCGGAAUGGCACUGAGAGUGGAGCCAUUUCCACAGAGUUUACCACAGAAAUCGAUGCACCAAAGAACCUGAGAGUUCUGUCAAAAACUUCCACUAGCCUGGAGCUGGAAUGGGACAAUAGUGAGGCAGAUGUAGAAGGCUACAGGGUGGUUUACAGCACACUGGCUGGUGAUCAGUAUGAUAAAGUCAUUGUCCCACUCAACGAUGGCGCCACCACCAAAACUACUCUCACUGAUUUACUCCCUGGCACAGAGUAUGGCAUAGGAAUUUCAGCAGUUCUAGGUGCCAACCAAAGCACCCCAGCUACGAUGAAUGCCAGAACGGGUCUGGAUGUCCCCUUGGAUUUGACUGUCACAGCCUCCACAGACAACACCAUCACCCUGUUGUGGGGGACAGUGCAGGGGCCUAUUGAUCACUAUAGGGUGACCUACACUUCCUCCACUGGAGUGACAACUGAGCUGACGGUGCCCAAGGAUGUCACCACCACCACACUGACAGGUCUAGAGCCAGGCACUGAGUACACCAUUACAGUUGCAGCACAGAGAGGCAGGCAGAAGAGCACUGCAGCCACUAUUGAUGCCUUCACAGGGUUCCGCCCUAUCACACAGUUCUUCUUCUCUGAUGUCACUUCUGAUUCACUGACUGUGGCAUGGAGUGCACCGGCACCGCCUGCUGACGCAUUUAUCUUGAACUACAAUGCUCAGGACUCCACUGAUGAUUCUGAGAUUCCUCUAGACGGGUCCAAAACCAGAAUCACCCUCACUGGUCUCCUGCCCUCCAGGCGGUACACUGUUACCUUGGUUACCAUGCAUGGCAAUGUGACCUCAAAGCCAGUUAUUGGCUCAGUCACAACAGGAAUGGACCCUCCCCGAGAUAUGACUAUGCUGUAUGUCACAGAAGACUCUGUAACCAUUUCAUGGAUUCAACCAUACGCACCCUUUGAUUACUACAAAAUGUCUUACCAAUCACCAAAAGGUAGGAUGGACAAUGUGGUGAUUGACAAUGAUGUCACCAACUACACCUUAACUAGCCUUCAUCCAGCAACAGAGUAUGAAAUCAAGCUGAACGCAGUGAGGGGAAGCCAAGAGAGCAAGGUCAUCACCACUACUGUCUUCACAGCUAUGGACAUGCCUAUGGACCUCACUGCACUGAAUGUUACACCUCAGGGGUCUCUGCUACGUUGGAACCCCCCUGUUUCCAGUGUUGAUAACUACGUGGUCACUCUCACCCGUAACCAAGUUAUGGCAGACACCUUCUUAGUGGAGGGUAACAAGCAGGAGUACCAGCUGGGUCAACUCAUCCCCAGCACCACCUACUCAGUGGCUCUUUAUGCCACUAAAGGUCCUCUCACCAGUGGCACCGUCAUCACCAACUUUGUCACACCCAUGGAUGCGCCCCAGAACCUGACAGCUAGUGAGAUUAACCAUCGAAGUGCCCUCAUAUCCUGGCAGCCGCCCCUCGCAGACAUCGAUAACUACAUGCUGACCUACAAAGCAGCGGAUGGCAGUCGAAAGGAGCUGAUCUUAGAGGCCGAAGACACAUGGAUCCGUCUCGAGGGGCUGGCGGAGACCACUGAAUAUACAGUGAGAUCGCAAGCCGCAAGAGGAUUAGAGACCAGCGCCAUUGUUUCUACAACUUUCACAACAGGAAACCGAUUGUUUCCUACGCAAAAGAAUUGUUCGCAGCACCUUCUGAAUGAAGAGACGCUGCGUGGAAUUUACACCAUCUACAUCAACAGAGACUUCAGCGAAGGUGUGCAGGUUUACUGCGACAUGACCACCGACGGAGGCGGCUGGAUAGUGUUCCAGCGACGUCAGAAUGGUUUGACUGAUUUCUCCAGGAAGUGGAGUGACUACAAGAUCGGCUUUGGCAACCUGGAGGAUGAAUUCUGGCUCGGCUUGGACAACAUUCAGAAGAUUGCAGCUCAAGGUCGUUACGAGCUCCGCAUUGACAUGAAAGAUGGCCAGGAGUCUGUAUAUGCCAACUAUGACAGGUUUUCCAUUGGAGAUUCCAAGAGCCUCUACAAACUGAGGAUAGGAGAGUAUAAUGGCACUGCAGGGGACUCUUUGAACUACCAUCAGAGCAGACCUUUCUCUACCAAGGACAAGGACAAUGAUAUUGCUGUCACCAACUGUGCAUUGUCCUACAAGGGAGCCUGGUGGUACAAAAACUGUCAUCGGGCCAACCUUAAUGGCAAAUAUGGAGAGUCCAGACAUAGUCAGGGUAUAAACUGGUAUCACUGGAAAGGCCAUGAGUUUUCCAUCCCUUUUGUGGAGAUGAAGAUGAGACCUUUCAACUACCGCAGCAUCAGUGGCAAGCGGAGGAGGUCCACCCAUUAAUCUACCGUCCUACUAGCUGUUUCUAUUUUUAAACAGGGUGAGGAGGACAGAAGGAGCGAUGUAACUUAUUUAAAUCUUUGAAUGACAAAAUCCCUUUGACGAAUGUCUGAUGUAAAUUGUAAACCUUGAGGUUCAGUGACUUUCUUAUGUGUAAUGCUAUUUGUUCAGUUCUGAGAGAUUGAAGACUAGGUAAGGUUUGGUAUUUUUAGCAUGUGUGCAGUAUGAGGCCUGUGGAAAGAACCUCAUCAUUAAGUGAAGAAAAGAGAUAAUUUCUCCCUUUGAGAUUAAAGAUUUUAGAAGAAAAUUAAUGCCCGUUAAAACGAGAUGCUUAUAUUUUUAUAAAUGAUGAGAAAUGCCUUUAAAAAAGUAACUGAAUGAUUUUUGGUCAGUUUUGAUUCAUGUUCAUGUGACCCAUUACAGUGUUAUAUUUUUCAUUUACUGCCCCCUGAAGCCAACAAUAUUUGUUUAAUUGUUUGUAUUUUCAUCUCAUAUUUAAACUUACAUUAACAGUUGGCCAUUGUACUGUUUCAGCAUUGUAACAGAUGAAAUUGCAAAUGCAGGGUUGUCUGGAAAAGAUGAGACAAAAACACAAAAUGUUUUUAUUAUUAUUAUUGAAACCUCAGAAACCAAAGAAUUAUUUAGUAUCUGAGUUCAAAACAGAUUGAUCUGAAAAAAGGAAUAAUCGCAUGCUUUUCAGUCAUAUAAUGUGCCCCAUGUUUGAUUUUAUUUCAUUUUAAAUUUGACAAUUUUGUGCAAGGCUGAUUAGUAAUACUUUAACAUCAUCUCACAUCAGAGGGUUUUUUUCUUCUUUUUUUUCUUUAGGUAUUAACUGGACUAUGAGCACUGAUAUGUACAUAUGAAAAACUCAAAUGGAGAAUUUUAACAUAGUUAUGUGUCACACUCCAUGCUUUUUAGUGUUUUUGUUCCUGUAGACUUGAAUAAUGGUGUCCAUCUGUGUCUUCGUAAAUCCUCUAGAUUAAUAGCAAUUCAUAAGUGAGUG
ensembl:lncRNA